rnacentral:rRNA from 1 species
GACGAACGCUGGCGGCGUGCUUAACACAUGCAAGUCGAACGGAAAGGCCCUGCUUUUGUGGGGUGCUCGGGUGGCGACCGGGUGAGUUACACGUGAGUAACCUGCCACUGACUUUGGGAUAACCUCAGGAAACUGGGGCUAAUACCAGCUAGGAGCUCCUGCCGCAUGGUGGGGGUUGGAAAGUUUCGGCGGUUGGGGAUGGACUGGCGGCUUAUCAGCUUGUUGGUGGGGUAGUGGCUUACCAAGGCUUUGACGGGUAGCCGGGCUGCGAGGGUGACCGGCCCACUUGGGAUGGGGAUACGACCCGGACUCGUACGGUAGGGGAGGGUGGGGAGGAGUGCACAAGAGGCGGGAGCCUGGUGCGACAACGCCGCGUGGGGGAAGACAGCCUUCGGGUUGGGAAGCGCUGUCGCCUGUGACGGAGCGUUAGUGACGGUAAUGGGUAAAGAAGCACCGGCUAACUACGUG